rnacentral:rRNA from 1 species
GAUGAACGCUGGCGGCGUGCCUAAUACAUGCAAGUCGAGCGAACGGACGAGAAGCUUGCUUCUCUGAUGUUAGCGGCGGACGGGUGAGUAACACGUGGAUAACCUACCUAUCAGACUGGGAUAACUUCGGGAAACCGUAGCUAAUACCGGAUAAUAUUUUGAACCGCAUGGUUCAAAAGUGAAAGACGGUCUUGCUGUCACUUAUAGAUGGAUCCGCGCUGCAUUAGCUAGUUGGUAAGGUAACGGCUUACCAAGGCAACGAUGCAUAGCCGACCUGAGAGGGUGAUCGGCCACACUGGAACUGAGACACGGUCCAGACUCCGACGGGAGGCAGCAGUAGGGAAUCUUCCGCAAUGGGCGAAAGCCUGACGGAGCAACGCCGCGUGAGUGAUGAAGGUCUUCGGAUCGGAAAACUCUGUUAGUAGGGAAGAACAUAUGUGUAAGUAACUGUGCACAUCUUGACGGUACCGAAUCAGAAAGCUACGGCUAACUACGUG